UACGUAGGGUGCGAGCGUUAAUCGGAAUUACUGGGCGUAAAGGGUGCGCAGGCGGUCUCGUAAGCUGGGUGUGAAAGCCCCGGGCUUAACCUGGGAAUGGCAUUCAGGACUGCGAGGCUUUGAGUGCGGCAGAGGGAGGUGGAAUUCCACGUGUAGCAGUGAAAUGCGUAGAGAUGUGGAGGAACACCGAUGGCGAAGGCAGCCCCCUGGGUCAAAACUGACGCUCAUGCACGAAAGCGUGGGGAGCAAACAGG
rnacentral:rRNA from 1 species